CAUGUCUUUUUGUAAAUUAUUUAAAGUCUAAUCUGCCCACUGAAUUUUUAAAGGGCCGCAGUAAUCUGACUGUGCAAAGGUAGCAUAAUCAUUUGUCUUUUAAUUGAAGGCUGGUAUGAAUGAUUGGACGAAGUAAAUACUGUCUCAUUAUUAAAAUAAUAAAAAUUUAGCUUUUUAGUCAAAAGGCUAAGAUUUUUUUGGAGGACGAGAAGACCCUAUAGAUCUUUAUAAUAAUAAUUGUAUUUUUAUCUUGGGUUUAUAAUUUUUAAUAUUUUUGUUAUUAUUUUGUUGGGGUGACAUGAAAAUUAAUUAAACUUUUCAUAUUUUAUAACAUAGAUUAAUGAUUUAAUGAUCCAUUUUUAUUGAUUAUAAGAAUAAGUUACCUUAGGGAUAACAGCGUUAUUUUAUUGGAGAGUUCAUAUUGAUAAUAAAGUUUGCGACCUC
rnacentral:rRNA from 1 species